rnacentral:rRNA from 1 species
AUUGAACGCUGGCGGCAUGCCUUACACAUGCAAGUCGAACGGCAGCAUAGGAGCUUGCUCCUGAUGGCGAGUGGCGAACGGGCGAGUAAUAUAUCGGAACGUGCCCUAGAGUGGGGGAUAACUAGUCGAAAGACUAGCUAAUACCGCAUACGAUCUACGGAUGAAAGUGGGGGAUCGCAAGACCUCAUGCUCCUGGAGCGGCCGAUAUCUGAUUAGCUAGUUGGUGGGGUAAAAGCCUACCAAGGCAACGAUCAGUAGCUGGUCUGAGAGGACGACCAGCCACACUGGGACUGAGACACGGCCCAGACUCCUACGGGAGGCAGCAGUGGGGAAUUUUGGACAAUGGGGGCAACCCUGAUCCAGCAAUGCCGCGUGAGUGAAGAAGGCCUUCGGGUUGUAAAGCUCUUUUGUCAGGGAAGAAACGGUAGUAGCUAAUAUCUAUUACUAAUGACGGUACCUGAAGAAUAAGCACCGGCUAACUACGUGCCAGCCGCCGCGGUAA